rnacentral:rRNA from 1 species
GUACGUACAAGCAGUGGGAGCACGCUUAGGCGUGUGACUGCGUACCUUUUGUAUAAUGGGUCAGCGACUUAUAUUCGGUAGCAAGGUUAACCGAAUAGGGGAGCCGAAGGGAAACCGAGUCUUAACUGGGCGUUAAGUUGCAGGGUAUACACCCGAAAACCGGUGAAAUAGCCAUGGGCAGGUUGAAGGUUGGGUAACACUAACUGGAGGACCGAACCGACUAAUGUUGAAAAAUUAG